GGACAAACACAAAGAUAUAAUACCCUUCUAUCCUCUUUGGUAGCGGGUAUAAAAAUCAGAAUUUGAAUUUUACAAAUGCGACCACGUAACAAAUCGAAGAACUUCUCCAACUGCUGCGAAGCACGUAGCCAUAGCGACUCACUCAGGAGGGGGGAAAAGUCGAGAUGAGACGAGAUGUUGUUUCAUCUUUGUUUUAGUCCGAUCGAGACAUUCGAAAUGGGUAGAAUAAAAAUAAACGUCAUUUUAUUAAUAAUCCUCAAACUAUUCUUGGUGGGCACAACAACAGGAGAAGAGACUUGCGAGAACGACCGAGAAAUGGACAAACUGUGCGGCGGUCAUACCUAUAAAAGUGUGAAGCCUUUGCUAGACUACUUUAAACAAGUUCGUAAUGAGUUAGACCAAAGUGAAAUUAAGGAAAAGUAUAUAAGUGAAAUAAAUGCUGAUCUUAUGAAGAAGUAUCAUGAAAUUGUAGCAAUUCAUGAAAAGCUCAUGAAGGAGGCAUUUCAAUUAGAUGAGUAUAAAAACAAAAUAAUAAGAAAAGAAAACAAUUUGCAAUUGUGUCAAAGUAAAGUUGAUAAAUUAGAGUCUGAGAUUAAUGCACAACAAACAACUAUAAACAAAUUAACAUUUAAUGCAAAUUUUCUUGCGAGUUAUGAUGAGUGUAAAAAAGAAUUAUCAGAUAAAUCCAACAAUUUGGAAGUAUGUGAGAUUCAAUUAAAAAAACUGAAUUCUAGUGUUAUUGAAAAAGAUGAGAAAAUUUCUGAAUACUCUGCAACAAUUCAAAACAUUACAGAAAAGCAGAAAACAAUUAGUUUGAAAUUAGAAGAGAGGCAAACCAUGUUAUUUAAAAAAGAUAAAGACAUUGAAAUAUGCCAUGAAGAAAUUGUUAAAUUAAAUAGAACAUCACAUA